UAGGGAAUCUUCCACAAUGGACGCAAGUCUGAUGGAGCAACGCCGCGUGAGUGAAGAAGGUCUUCGGAUCGUAAACUCUGUUGUUAGAGAAGAACACGAGUGAGAGUAACUGUUCAUUCGAUGACGGUAUCUAACCAGCAAGUCACGGCUGACUACGUGCCAG
rnacentral:rRNA from 1 species